rnacentral:rRNA from 1 species
CAGUCGCCGCGGGAAUACGAAGGGUGCAAGCGUUACUCGGAAUUACUGGGCGUAAAGCGUGCGUAGGUGGCUCGCCAAGUUGGAUGUGAAAUCCCCGGGCUCAACCUGGGAACUGCAUCCAAAACUGGCGAGCUAGAGUAUGGUAGAGGGUGGUGGAAUUUCCUGUGUAGCGGUGAAAUGCGUAGAUAUAGGAAGGAACAUCAGUGGCGAAGGCGACCACCUGGACUGAUACUGACACUGAGGUGCGAAAGCGUGGGGAGCAAACAGGAUUAGAUACCCCCGUAGUCCCUGUCUCUUAUAC